rnacentral:tRNA from 1 species
ACUAUUUUGGCAGAAAAAAUGUAAUGAUUUUAGAAUUCAUUAAUAUAUAAUUUAAAUUAUAUAGAUAGUA